rnacentral:rRNA from 1 species
GGACCCGCACAAGUAGUGGAGCAUGUGGUUUAAUUCGAAGAUACGCGCAGAACCUUACCAACACUUGACAUGUUCGUCGCGACUUUAAGAGAUUAAAGUUUUCGGUUCGGCCGGACGAAACACAGGUGCUGCAUGGCUGUCGUCAGCUCGUGUCGUGAGAUGUUGGGUUAAGUCCCGCAACGAGCGCAACCCUCACUUUUAGUUGCCAUCAUUUAGUUGGGCACUCUGAAAGAACUGCCAGUGAUAAGCUGGAGGAAGGUGGGGAUGACGUCAAGUCCUCAUGGCCCUUACGUGUUGGGCUACACACGUGCUACAAUGGUAUCUACAACAGGAAGCAAAACGGCGACGUUAAGCAAAUCCCGAAAAGAUACCUCAGUUCGGAUUGCACUCUGCAACUCGACUCCGUG